rnacentral:miRNA from 1 species
UUGGACUUUGAUGUGGGCUCAGGCUCAGAGGGCUGAAGUGGUUGUGGGGAGGGGCUUCUGGGGACUGUGUCCAUGUCUCGUUGUCGUUUU